UUUUUGCUGCAGUGAACGGUAGCCGUGGAAAGCGAGCAAGAGCGAGAUAGAGAUACAAAGACAGAGUGAGAGAGAGAGAGCGGAGGGGGAAAAAAAAAGCAAGAAAAACAAGGAGUCAGGAGAAGGAACAAAGAAGGGAAAAAAAGUCGAUAAAAGCAGAUUGAGAGAAGGCUCCGGACAAGCGACUGCUGCGCAUCAAAGGAGGGACCUUACUGGGGACCUUAUUGGAGACCAGUAUCAACGAAACCCGACUCCGGAGGCGGACUAUAACGGUGACACUCCAGAGCUCCUCUGCCCUCCUGAGGAUUCAGUGAGACAGGCGGAUCUGUGUGCCCGAACAUGGCCUUCCCAUCAGCCCUCUCUGCAAUAUGGAGUGUCAGCUUAUUGACAGUACUCUUCACAGCUGUGGUUCACAGCAAUAUUGGCUUUGAAGAUGACCCCUUGCAGCCAGUGACCGCCGAUGAGACAGUGCCCGCGGGGGGCACAGUGAUAUUGACCUGUCGGGUGGCAGAGAGUGACAACUCCUCGCUGCAAUGGUCCAACACUGCACAGCAGACCCUGUACUUUGGAGAGAAGAGAGG